rnacentral:tRNA from 1 species
GGGCGAUUAGCUCAGUUGGUUAGAGCACCUGCCUUACAAGCAGGGGGUCACUAGUUCGAGUCUAGUAUCGCCCACCC